AGACGUAUCUUAUUGGUCUAUAGCGCCGCUCCUGCAACCGUCUGUAAUCCUACAGGGCAUCGCCCCAUUGCCAAUGUUAGACGAAAACAGCGUUGGAAUUCAAUGGGAACUGAAGAAAGAAACCAUUUUAGUUGUUGAUAACAUGUUGAUCGUUCAUAGGCGUUGUGACAAGGAUCAACAGAAGCACCGAUCUGGAUGCAUGAUCUGGAUGCAUGAUCAGGUUGCAUGUGUAUAGUUCAUCAUCUGCUGCCUGCCCCGCAGGUGUUUUCCGGACACGGGUGCUUCUCCUAAUUUCUCUCUAGCCCAUUGACAACAGUGUCUUCUGCCUGUGAUGUUUGAGCGAAUACUAUACUCGUGUAAUAGAUGCCUUCUUAUCAUAAGUGUGAAAUUAAAUUGUAAUUGUAUCGAUCUUUGUUUUAGCAACUUAAAUUAUAAAUUAAGUUGACCCACAUUUUUAUUUAUAAAUAUGUGUAGAGUGUUUAAAA